GACGAAGGUGGCUAGCGUUAUUCGGAUUUACUGGGCAUAAAGCGCGCGUAGGCGGAUCGUUAAGUCGGGGGUGAAAUCCUGGAGCUCAACUCCAGAACUGCCUUCGAUACUGGCGAUCUUGAGUCCGGAAGAGGUGAGUGGAACUCCUAGUGUAGAGGUGGAAUUCGUAGAUAUUAGGAAGAACACCGGUGGCGAAGGCGGCCCACUGGUCCGGUACUGACGCUGAGGUGCGAAAGCGUGGGGAGCAAACAGG
rnacentral:rRNA from 1 species